GAGCUGGUGGUAUAGUGGUGAGCAUAGCUGCCUUCCAAAGCAGUUGACUCAGGUUCGGUUCCUGGCCAACACA
rnacentral:tRNA from 2 species